rnacentral:rRNA from 1 species
GGGUUGUGAGGUUAAGCGACUAAGCGUACACGGUGGAUGCCCUGGCAGUCAGAGGCGAUGAAGGACGUGCUAAUCUGCGAUAAGCGUCGGUGAGGUGAUAUGAACCGUUAUAACCGGCGAUUUCCGAAUGGGGAAACCCAGUGUGUUUCGACACACUAUCAUUAACUGAAUCCAUAGGUUAAUGAGGCGAACCGGGGGAACUGAAACAUCUAAGUACCCCGAGGAAAAGAAAUCAACCGAGAUUCCCCCAGUAGCGGCGAGCGAACGGGGAGGAGCCCAGAGCCUGAAUCAGUGUGUGUGUUAGUGGAAGCGUCUGGAAAGGCGUGCGAUACAGGGUGACAGCCCCGUACACAAAAAUGCACAUAUUGUGAGCUCGAUGAGUAGGGCGGGACACGUGGUAUCCUGUCUGAAUAUGGGGGGACCAUCCUCCAAGGCUAAAUACUCCUGACUGACCGAUAGUGAACCAGUACCGUGAGGGAAAGGCGAAAAGAACCCCGGCGAGGGGAGUGAAAAAGAACCUGAAACCGUGUACGUACAAGCAGUGGGAGCCUCUUAAUGGGGUGACUGCGUACCUUUUGUAUAAUGGGUCAGCGACUUAUAUUCUGUAGCAAGGUUAACCGAAUAGGGGAGCCGAAGGGAAACCGAGUCUUAACUGGGCGUUAAGUUGCAGGGUAUAGACCCGAAACCCGGUGAUCUAGCCAUGGGCAGGUUGAAGGUUGGGUAACACUAACUGGAGGACCGAACCGACUAAUGUUGAAAAAUUAGCGGAUGACUUGUGGCUGGGGGUGAAAGGCCAAUCAAACCGGGAGAUAGCUGGUUCUCCCCGAAAGCUAUUUAGGUAGCGCCUCGUGAAUUCAUCUCCGGGGGUAGAGCACUGUUUCGGCAAGGGGGUCAUCCCGACUUACCAACCCGAUGCAAACUGCGAAUACCGGAGAAUGUUAUCACGGGAGACACACGGCGGGUGCUAACGUCCGUCGUGAAGAGGGAAACAACCCAGACCGCCAGCUAAGGUCCCAAAGUCAUGGUUAAGUGGGAAACGAUGUGGGAAGGCCCAGACAGCCAGGAUGUUGGCUUAGAAGCAGCCAUCAUUUAAAGAAAGCGUAAUAGCUCACUGGUCGAGUCGGCCUGCGCGGAAGAUGUAACGGGGCUAAACCAUGCACCGAAGCUGCGGCAGCGACGCUUAUGCGUUGUUGGGUAGGGGAGCGUUCUGUAAGCCUGUGAAGGUGGCCUGUGAGGGUUGCUGGAGGUAUCAGAAGUGCGAAUGCUGACAUAAGUAACGAUAAAGCGGGUGAAAAGCCCGCUCGCCGGAAGACCAAGGGUUCCUGUCCAACGUUAAUCGGGGCAGGGUGAGUCGACCCCUAAGGCGAGGCCGAAAGGCGUAGUCGAUGGGAAACAGGUUAAUAUUCCUGUACUUGGUGUUACUGCGAAGGGGGGACGGAGAAGGCUAUGUUGGCCGGGCGACGGUUGUCCCGGUUUAAGCGUGUAGGCUGGUUUUCCAGGCAAAUCCGGAAAACCAAGGCUGAGGCGUGAUGACGAGGCACUACGGUGCUGAAGCGACAAAUGCCCUGCUUCCAGGAAAAGCCUCUAAGCAUCAGGUAACAUCAAAUCGUACCCCAAACCGACACAGGUGGUCAGGUAGAGAAUACCAAGGCGCUUGAGAGAACUCGGGUGAAGGAACUAGGCAAAAUGGUGCCGUAACUUCGGGAGAAGGCACGCUGAUAUGUAGGUGAAGCGACUUGCUCGUGGAGCUGAAAUCAGUCGAAGAUACCAGCUGGCUGCAACUGUUUAUUAAAAACACAGCACUGUGCAAACACGAAAGUGGACGUAUACGGUGUGACGCCUGCCCGGUGCCGGAAGGUUAAUUGAUGGGGUUAGCGGCAACGCGAAGCUCUUGAUCGAAGCCCCGGUAAACGGCGGCCGUAACUAUAACGGUCCUAAGGUAGCGAAAUUCCUUGUCGGGUAAGUUCCGACCUGCACGAAUGGCGUAAUGAUGGCCAGGCUGUCUCCACCCGAGACUCAGUGAAAUUGAACUCGCUGUGAAGAUGCAGUGUACCCGCGGCAAGACGGAAAGACCCCGUGAACCUUUACUAUAGCUUGACACUGAACAUUGAGCCUUGAUGUGUAGGAUAGGUGGGAGGCUUUGAAGUGUGGACGCCAGUCUGCAUGGAGCCGACCUUGAAAUACCACCCUUUAAUGUUUGAUGUUCUAACGUUGGCCCGUAAUCCGGGUUGCGGACAGUGUCUGGUGGGUAGUUUGACUGGGGCGGUCUCCUCCUAAAGAGUAACGGAGGAGCACGAAGGUUGGCUAAUCCUGGUCGGACAUCAGGAGGUUAGUGCAAUGGCAUAAGCCAGCUUGACUGCGAGCGUGACGGCGCGAGCAGGUGCGAAAGCAGGUCAUAGUGAUCCGGUGGUUCUGAAUGGAAGGGCCAUCGCUCAACGGAUAAAAGGUACUCCGGGGAUAACAGGCUGAUACCGCCCAAGAGUUCAUAUCGACGGCGGUGUUUGGCACCUCGAUGUCGGCUCAUCACAUCCUGGGGCUGAAGUAGGUCCCAAGGGUAUGGCUGUUCGCCAUUUAAAGUGGUACGCGAGCUGGGUUUAGAACGUCGUGAGACAGUUCGGUCCCUAUCUGCCGUGGGCGCUGGAGAACUGAGGGGGGCUGCUCCUAGUACGAGAGGACCGGAGUGGACGCAUCACUGGUGUUCGGGUUGUCAUGCCAAUGGCACUGCCCGGUAGCUAAAUGCGGAAGAGAUAAGUGCUGAAAGCAUCUAAGCACGAAACUUGCCCCGAGAUGAGUUCUCCCUGACCCUUUAAGGGUCCUGAAGGAACGUUGAAGACGACGACGUUGAUAGGCCGGGUGUGUAAGCGCAGCGAUGCGUUGAGCUAACCGGUACUAAUGAACCGUGAGGCUUAACCUUACAACGCCGAAG